UUCAGAGGGAGAAGAAGAGGCAAAAAUUGGAACAGAAAUAUCAUUCGAUUCGUCGAUCCUCAAAAAAAGAAAUAAGCAAGGUUCCGUCGUUGAGUGACAAAUGGGAAAUUUAUGGAAAGUUACAAUCCCUACCACGGAAUAGUGCACCUACACGCCUUCAUCGACGUUGUUUUUUGACCGGAAGGCCAAGAGCUAACUAUCGAGACUUUGGCCUAUCCGGACACAUACUUCGUGAAAUGGUUCAUGCAUGUUUGUUGCCAGGAGCAACAAGAUCAAGUUGGUAAGGAUUAACGCUUCAUUUCUAUUUCUAUGGUCGAUGAUCAUAGAAGCCCCUUUACCAUUCUGUAUAAAUGGGCUAUUCUAUUUGUACAGAUAGGGUAGAGGGGCGCAUUUAAUCCUUGUUUAUCUAUUAGUUUUCAGGUCUUAUCUUUGACGCGGGGUAGAGCAGUUUGGUAGCUCGCAAGGCUCAUAACCUUGAGGUCACGGGUUCAAAUCCUGUCUCCGCAACAUCUUGUUCUGGUAACUAGUAAUUAAUUCCCGCCUUUCGCUUUUUGGGGGUGGAAGGCAAAAGAAAACGUAGGGGAGGGAUAGAAUCACUACACUAUCACGGCCAACUAUACCAACUCCUUAAUUUCCUUAAUUUUAAUUUAAGGAUAUAUUUAAUGCUAUUUAUGAAUUCAAUAAUAAAAAUAAAUAGUAAAAAAAUGACUUUAUCUUGGAUUUUGGGCGGAUAGCGGGAAUCGAACCCGCAUCUUCUCCUUGGCAAAGAGAAAUUUUACCAUUCGACCAUAUCCGCAUUUUUUUGUUCUUGAUACACAAUAUGUACCCACAUAUAUGAUAUAUAACCGGAUCUUAUUUGUGCAGUGCCGGAACACAUAUUCUCUUCGGAACGAUUCCAAUUAUUUUGUUAAUUGUAUUCUUUUUAUUCAAGAAGUGUGACCCCCCCUCUAAUUUUUUUUGUUUUCUUUAUUUGAUUUGCAUUUUCUUUGGGGACUUAGAUUCAAAUUUAAUGUGUCUCACAACCGAGAAAAAUUAGGGGGGUCAUUUUGGUUUUGGGUCUGCGACGAAUAGGUUCAAGAGAUAAGAGAAUUAAGGAUACCCACCAGAAAGACUAAUCCAAUCCAUAAGGAUGUACCAGAAAAUACAACAUUUUUGUUACUUGACCAGCCAUCAGGAGAAGCAAAUACAACGGGUACGCUAAUCAAUAAGAUUAAUGAAGUAGCAAUUAAUGCAAAAACAGCCAAUUGGAAAGCAAGAGUCAUGCUUUUAAUCCUCCAAGCUACCAACAAAUGAACUAUAUACCAUUUGAUCCCUCUAUNAGCACAUCACAUUAUGGCAGGGUAACGUUUCACAGUUUAAUGAAUCUUCCACUUAUUUGAUGGGCUGGUUAAGGGAUUAUUUAUGGUUAAACUCUUCACAACUUAUCAAUGGAUAUAACCCUUUUGGUAUGAAUAGUUUAUCGGUUUGGGCAUGGAUGUUCUUAUUUGGACAUCUUGUUUGGGCUACUGGAUUUAUGUUCUUAAUUUCUUGGCGUGGAUAUUGGCAGGAAUUGAUUGAAACUUUAGCAUGGGCUCACGAACGCACACCUUUGGCCAAUUUGAUUCGCUGGAGAGAUAAACCAGUGGCCCUUUCUAUUGUACAAGCAAGAUUGGUUGGAUUAGCUCACUUUUCUGUAGGUUAUAUAUUCACUUAUGCGGCUUUCUUGAUUGCCUCUACGUCGGGCAAAUUUGGUUAAUUAAUGUGUGUAUUCGCGAUAAUCUCAUUUCUUUCGACGGACCAAUAAAGACCAAACAAUUAUUCAUCUAUGGAGAGCCAAGCACGCAAAAAACGCUACUUUUACACUUCUUAGCAAAAGUUCUCAAAAUAUACUGAUUCAGAGGGAGAAGAAGAGGCAAAAAUUGGAACAGAAAUAUCAUUUGAUUCGUUGAUCCUCAAAAAAAAGAAAUAAGCAAGGUUCCGUCGUUGAGUGACAAAUGAGAAAUUUAUGGAGAGUUACAAUCCCUACCACGGAAUAGUGCACCUACACGCCUUCAUCGACGUUGUUUUUUGACCGGAAGGCCAAGAGCUAACUAUCGAGAC
rnacentral:lncRNA from 1 species